AAGUCGUAACAAGGUUUCCGUAGGUGAACCUGCGGAAGGAUCAUCAUUGAAAUUUUAUCAUGGUUAUUUUCAAGCCUCAAAGGGAGAAAUCUUUUUUUGGCUUGCAAACAACACAGAUACCCAAAAAAAAAAAGAAAAAGAAUUUUUUCUGAUGGUUUUUAGUGGUUGCCUGAUAUAAAAAAGUGUUUGGAAAAAAAAAAAAAGAAUGAAAUAAUAAAAAAACAACUUUCAACAACGGAUCUCUUGGCUCUCA
rnacentral:misc_RNA from 1 species